rnacentral:rRNA from 1 species
GAUGAACGCUAGCGGCAGGCCUAAUACAUGCAAGACGAACGGUAAGUUUGAUAGCAAUAUUGAACCUAGAGUGUCGUAAGGGUGCGUAACACGUAUGCAAUCUACCCUCAACAGGAGGAUAGCUCCCCGAAAGGGGAAUUAACACUCCAUAAGAUCACAGGAUGGCAUCAUUCAGUGAUUAAAACUCCGGUGGUUGAGGAUGAGCAUGCGCAUGAUUAGUUAGUUGGCGGGGUAAUGGCCCACCAAGACGAUGAUCAUUAGGGGAACUGAGAGGUUGAUCCCCCACACUGGCACUGAGAUACGGGCCAGACUCCUACGGGAGGCAGCAGUAGGGAAUAUUGGACAAUGGGUGCGAGCCUGAUCCAGCCAUGCCGCGUGCAGGAAGACGGCCUUCUGGGUUGUAAACUGCUUUUGCCUAGGGGAUAAAAGACCGAUGCGUGGUCAAUUGAAGGUACCUGGGUGAAUAAGCCACGGCUAACU